AUUGAACGCUGGCGGAAUGCUUUACACAUGCAAGUCGAACGGCGGCACGGACUUCGGUCUGGUGGCGAGUGGCGAACGGGUGAGUAAUGUAUCGGAACGUGCCCAGUCGUGGGGGAUAACGUAGUGAAAAUUACGCUAAUACCGCAUACGAUCUAUGGAUGAAAGCGGGGGAUCGCAAGACCUCGCGCGAUUGGAGCGGCCGAUAUCAGAUUAGAUAGUUGGUGGGGUAAAGGCCACCCAAGCCAACGAUCUGUAGCUGGUCUGAGAGGACGACCAGCCACACUGGAACUGAGACACGGUCCAGACUCCUACGGGAGGCAGCAGUGGGGAAUUUUGGACAAUGGGCGAAAGCCUGAUCCAGCCAUUCCGCGUGCAGGAUGAAGGCCCUCGGGUUGUAAACUGCUUUUGUACAGAACGAAAAGGUUUCUACUAAUACUAGGAGCUCAUGACGGUACUGUAAGAAUAAGCACCGGCUAACUACGUGCCAGCCGCCGCCGUAA
rnacentral:rRNA from 1 species